rnacentral:rRNA from 1 species
CCUACGGGUGGCUGCAGUCGAGAAUCUUCGGCAAUGCGCGAAAGCGUGACCGAGCAAUGCCGCGUGCGGGAUGAAGGCCCUCGGGUUGUAAACCGCGAAAGUAAGGCGGAAGGCUCUGUGAAGAGCAGAGUUUGACCAAUUUACAGUAAGGACGGGCUAAGUUCGUGCCAGCAGCCGCGGUAAGACGAACCGUCCGAACGUUAUUCGGAAUUACUGGGCUUAAAGGGUGCGUAGGCGGUGCUGUAAGUCGGGUGUGAAAUCCCACAGCUCAACUGUGGAACUGCGCCCGAUACUGCAGUGCUAGAGGGAGACAGAGGUAAGCGGAACUGAUGGUGGAGCGGUGAAAUGCGUUGAUAUCAUCAGGAACACCGGUGGCGAAAGCGGCUUACUGGGUCUCUUCUGACGCUGAGGCACGAAAGCUAGGGUAGCGAACGGGAUUA